rnacentral:rRNA from 1 species
GUGGGGAAUUUUCCGCAAUGGGCGAAAGCCUGAUGGAGCAACGCCGCGUGUGUGAUGAAGGGUUCCGGCUCGUCAACUUCUUUUCUCGGAGAAGAAACAAUGACGGUAUCUGAGGAAUAAGCAUCGGCUAACUCUGUGCCAA